AAUGAACGUUGGCGGCGUGGAUUAGGCAUGCAAGUCGUACGGGUCGGUGUAGCAAUACAACGGCAAGUGGCGAAAGGGAGAGUAACACGUAGAUACCUACCCUCUGGUCGGGGAUACCGCGGCAUAACCGCAAGUAAUACCCGAUAAAAUCUCCGGAUCAAAGGUGUGAUUCCGCCGGAGGAGGGGUCUGCGUUCUAUCAGCUUGUUGGUGAGGUAAUGGCUCACCAAGGCUAAGACGGAUACGGGGUGUGAGAGCAUGCCCCCGCUCACUGGGACUGAGACACUGCCCAGACACCUACGGGUGGCUGCAGUCGAGAAUCUUCGGCAAUGGGCGCAAGCCUGACCAAGCGACGCCGCGUGCGGGAUGAAGGCCUUCGGGUUGUAAACCGCUGUCGAGGGGAAUGAAGUGUAGGUGGGUACUCCCAUCUAUUUGACAGAUCCCUGGAGGAAGCAUGGGCUAAGUUCGUGCCAGCCGCCGCAGUAACAC
rnacentral:rRNA from 1 species